GAUGAACGCUGGCGGCGUGCCUAAUACAUGCAAGUCGAGCGAACGGACGAGACGCUUGCUUCUCUGAUGUUAGCGACGGACGGGUGAGUAACACGUGGAUAACCUACCUAUAAGACUGGGAUAACUUCGGGAAACCGGAUCUAAUACCGGAUGAUAUUUUGAACCGCAUGGUUCAACAGUGAAAGACGGUCUUGCUGUCACUUAUAGAUGGAUCCGCGCUGCAUUAGCUAGUUGGUAAGGUAACGGCUUACCAAGGCAACGAUGCAUAGCCGACCUGAGAGGGUGAUCGGCCACACUGGAACUGAGACACGGUCCAGACUCCUACGGGAGGCAGCAGUAGGGAAUCUUCCGCAAUGGGCGAAAGCCUGACGGAGCAACGCCGCGUGAGUGAUGAAGGUCUUCGGAUCGUAAAACUCUGUUAUUAGGGAAGAACAUAUGUGUAAGUAACUGUGCACAUCUUGACGGUACCUAAUCAGAAAGCCACGGCUAACUACGUG
rnacentral:rRNA from 1 species